GAUGAACGCUGGCGGCGUGCCUAAUACAUGCAAGUCGAGCGAACGGACGAGAAGCUUGCUUCUCUGAUGUUAGCGGCGGACGGGUGAGUAACACGUGGAUAACCUACCUAUAAGACUGGGAUAACUUCGGGAAACCGUAGCUAAUACCGGAUAAUAUUUUGAACCGCAUGGUUCAAAAGUGAAAGACGGUCUUGCUGUCACUUAUAGAUGGAUCCGCGCUGCAUUAGCUAGUUGGUAAGGUAACGGCUUACCAAGGCAACGAUUCAUAGCCGACCUGAGAGGGUGAUCGGCGACACUGGAACUGAGACACGGUCCAGACUCCUACGGGAGGCAGCAGUAGGGAAUCUUCCGCAAUGGGCGAAAGCCUGACGGAGCAACGCCGCGUGAGUGAUGAAGGUCUUCGGAUCGUAAAACUCUGUUAUUAGGGAAGAACAUAUGUGUAAGUAACUGUGCACAUCUUGACGGUACCUAAUCAGAAAGCCACGGCUAACUACGUG
rnacentral:rRNA from 1 species